rnacentral:rRNA from 1 species
AGGGCGAACGCUGGCGGCGUGCUUAACACAUGCAAGUCGAACGGUGAACCACCUUCGGGUGGGGAUCAGUGGCGAACGGGUGAGUAACACGUGACCAACCUGCCCCUAACUCUGGGAUAACCCCCGGGAAACCGGAGCUAAUACCGGAUACGAGGCCUCAUGGCAUCACGAGGUCUGGAAAGUUUUUUCGGUAGGGAUGGGGUCGCGGCCUAUCAGCUUGUUGGUGGGGUAAUGGCUUACCAAGGCGACGACGGGUAGCCGGCCUGAGAGGGCGACGGCCACGACGUGGGACUGAGACACGGCCCAGACUCCUACGGGAGGCAGCAGUGGGGAAUAUUGCGCAAUGGGCGAAAGCCUGACGCAGCGACGCCGCGUGAGGGAUGGACGGCCUUCGGGUUGUAAACCUCUUUCAGCAGGGAAGAAGCGAAAGUGACGGUACCUGCAGAAGAAGCGACCGGCUAACGUACGUGCCGAGUAGCCGC